rnacentral:pre_miRNA from 17 species
GUGAGAAUCACAGUGCAGUUCUCCUCUGGCAUGGAGGGCAAGAGGAGCUGAAUAGCUAAUGGAUGAUAAACUGCUAGCCUUUCCCUGCCAAAGGAGAGCUGCCCUGCCAUUCAGUG